UUGGAGGGCAAGUCUGGUGCCAGCAGCCGCGGUAAUUCCAGCUCCAAUAGCGUAUAUUAAAGUUGUUGCAGUUAAAAAGCUCGUAGUUGAAUUUCGGGGUCAGUAGGCUGGUCGUGCCACAGGUAUGUACUGGUCUUACUGAUUCCUCCUUCCUGAUGAACCGUAAUGCCAUUAAUUUGGUGUUGCGGGGAAUCUGGACUGUUACUUUGAAAAAAUUAGAGUGUUUAAAGCAGGCUAACGCUUGAAUACAUUAGCAUGGAAUAAUGAAAUAGGACGAUCGAUCCUAUUUUGUUGGUUUCUAGGAUUGACGUAAUGAUUAAUAGGGAUAGUUGGGGGCAUUAGUAUUCAAUUGUCAGAGGUGAAAUUCUUGGAUUUAUUGAAGACUAACUACUGCGAAAGCAUUUGCCAAGGAUGUUUUCAUUAAUCAAGAACGAAAGUUAGGGGAUCGAAGACGAUCAGAUACCGUCGUAGUCUUAACCAUAAACUAUGCCGACUAGGGAUCGGAUGAUGUUAAUUUUUUAAUGACUCAUUCGGCGCCUUACGGGAAA
rnacentral:rRNA from 1 species